rnacentral:rRNA from 1 species
AAACGGUAGCUAAUACCGCAUAACGUCGCGAGACCAAAGAGGGGACCUUCGGGCCUCUUGCCAUCAGAUGUGCCCAGAUGGGAUUAGCUUGUUGGUGGGGUAACGGCUCACCAAGGCGACGAUCCCUAGCUGGUCUGAGAGGAUGACCAGCCACACUGGAACUGAGACACGGUCCAG